rnacentral:sRNA from 1 species
CCUUUAGAUAGAAGCUUAGUAACUUUGUCCUUGAAUGCAAAGAAUUGCUUAAUCUGAAGACCAAAUGAAAAUGGGCUGACAGAUGUUGCCGUUGCUGGAGUAAUUGAACAGCCAGCUUGAGCAAAAUUAACACCCGCACGUAAGUUAGGUGCACCAACAGAAUCCAAAUAUGCAUUGAGGAACGGCAUAUCCAUUGCAUCCACUGCAGGAGGAAUCGAUGAUGAGGCGGCCGUCGCAGAACCGGCCGGAGGGGGAGCCGAAGAAGGUGGAGCCGUAGGGAGGCGCGAUGGACUCGAACCCGGCGGCCACGCGCCCUCCCGUGUCGGAGUUGGAGUCGCCGAAGUUGAACACCGCCGGGUAGUUGAACUCCGGCGACGACG